CAACUGUGGUUUGUGCUCCUUGUCGCCAAAUGAAGAAAGCGACGACUCUGUGUGCGUUAUAAUACACUUUAUUAUCCACAAGGGAAAUGUUGUUUAUCUCGUCUUGACACCGCUGAUGGAGUCGUCCAGGUUACGAGUUAUCACGCUCUCGCCACUUAAGAUCCAAACGACAGCAAGCGUCAGGAGUGAGUACGGCCCUAUGAUUUCGGCGAUGCAGAAAACGGACAGAAUGUCGGAAUUUGCCAGAUGUUGGAUGGAUAAAACAAGGGCCCUAUGAUUUCGGGGAUGAAAAACGGGGAAGGAAUCUCUGAAUUUGCCAAAUUUUGGAUGGAUAAAACAAAAGGGCCCUAAAUAUUUCUGCGACGCGGCAAACAGGGACAGAAUUGUGGAAUUUGCCGAAUUUUGGAUGGAUAAAACAAACGGGGAUUGUGGUAUGCCAGCGGAGGGCAUGUGUGAACGGAGAGGGCAGGGGAACAUGAAUAGGUCUGCUCUGCUGGGAUUGGCACUCCCCGGCUCUGCGGUGGAAUAAAAGCGACGGUGAGGAUUAGAGGAGAGUUCCUCAGCUUGCGGGAUAAGCUGAUCUUCCACACUUCAGAAAUCCACAAACAGCGUUGUGCAAACCCAUUUGAAACCUUCCAGGUUGGCCUACAAACUGACGUCACGACUGAACAGAUCUCUGAAGCUGCCACACAGAUUGCUGGGAUUGACCUAACAGAGUCAUGCUCAUGUGACGGAGGUUUACUUCAGAUAUCCUACCUGUAUCCUUUCUGACUCAUGUUUUAUGAAUAGGCUUUGGAAAAAUAUACAACACACUUUGCUUUUCUUUUUUUCCCCCCCAGUCACAGUCUUCAAAGUUUCCUUUACGAUAACCAAAAACCAUUAGCUGCUGUCAAACCCAGGAGAAGAGAGAUUAUUUUUUUUAUUGAAAUAAGAUUAAAAUGAUAACUUUGACUGCGGCCUCCACCUGAUAAAAUAUUUCAGCUCAUAAGCGUGGUGUAGGCACAGGGAUUAGAGCAGAGGGAGAGAGAGAAAUUCAUAAUGUAUAAUAAGACAAAAGGUGUCAUGGGAAAUAACACUGAUAUUAAAAUUAGAAAAUGACGCAAUCUAUAUGAAAAAUGCAGAUUUAAAAAUGUAAAUGAUGAUCUAGGAUUUCUUAGAACAAAAGUAUCAGAAAAGUAAGAGCCGUAGAGAUGUCAAAUGGCUUGCUGGUCUGUGACCUUUCUGUGUGUUUUAACUUUAAUGAUUAGAAGAGAUGGUGUAAUAUAUGGAAUACUUGUACUUUCAAAAAUGUAUUUAUCACAUCGUAAAAUGAAAUUAAAUGAACUAGUGCAGGCAAAACAAUGAUAAAAAUGAUAAAGAAGCAAACGCAAAAGGUGACCAUACUCUUUCCUUUAAGCAUACUGAAUAUGCACAUUUUAACCAAGCAUACUGAUCACAAGUCUAAGGGGAUCUAAGCU